CCAUUGAAUCAGAAUCGGAAUGGAACUCCCUCCAACCAAACAGUUGGAAAGAGAGUGAUCCAUUUUCAUUCCUAUUCUAGCUCUAACUCCCUCCAACCAAGCACGUCCUAAAAAUAUUGGUACUAACAUAUAUAUUGAUACCAUACCAUACCGAUACAUGGUAUUACGUUUCACUUUUAUAGUGCUGGCACAAAUGAGUGCUUCUUGUGUUAGCAUG
rnacentral:lncRNA from 1 species